AAAUAUAUGUAUAGGUUUUUAGGAUAAAAUUGGAACUAUAUAGAGAAAAUUAGUAUGAUCGUUACUCAACGAUGAUAUGCAAAAUCAUGAAACGUUCCACAAUUUU
rfam:Solenopsis invicta Si_gnG.contig36138, whole genome shotgun sequence.